UUCGACCGUUUCCAGACUUUUGUUACACCCUGUAUAUAUCGUUACAUAUAUAUAUAUUCUAAUUGUAAUGUUCCUUACAUUCUGUGCUUACAGUCACAUCUUUUCGUAUCUUUGAGCUCCCAUUGGAACUCAGAUUCUCCAGGAGAUAUCUCCAGGAGAUGUCUCCAGCAGAUUAUUAUUACACAAUUCGACUUUUCCUUUAAGGAAUUACAUGCUUAAUGCCAUUGGCGUAUGUUUCAUUUCUUUUAAUAUUUUCAUAUGGCUCCGUUAACAUUGCUUGUCUUUAAUGGAUUAUUACUACUUUUAUAAUUUCUAUUCUUCGUAUAUAUUAUAAUUUACAACCGAACUUAUACUCCAGGUCACAUACAUUAUAUGUAUUUCCCGGCUGUCUCGCUAGAAUCAGCCGAGAUUACCUGGUCACAAAUCGUCAGCUUUGAAUAGCUACAUUAUUCUACUCGGACAAACGCAAAGCAUAAUUAUAUGAUCAAACGAACUCCUGAGUGAAGUUCGAUCAUAAUUAUGCGAAUGCUUCGUCCGAGUAGAACUUUCCCACCCUCACCCAAGGAUUACUGUGCACUUCUUGUUUCUUCCCAGUUUCGAUUUGUGACAUGCUUUAAAUCAUGAAGACGUACUGCGCACGCGCGGCGAGGCAGCGCUAUUGCGACCGCAAAUCUUUAUUUUGGCGCGAAGCUUUAAAGAUGCUUGUUGAAGGGAGUAGCAUGGAACAUGACUACAUUAUUCUACUCGGACGAACGCAGAGCAUAAUUAUGAUCGAACUUCACUCAGGAGUUCGUUUGAUCAUAUAAUUUUUAAAAAUACCAGAAAACUUCGAACGUUCGACUGCAGAAACAUCUAUAGUAGGGGGCACAUCUCCUUAUAACUUUACAAAACGAAAUUUGUGCCGAUUGGUGAGUAAUGAACUUGCAGAACAGUAUAGUUGGUUGGGCGCUAAACUCAAAAGAAAAUUUUGUAAUCUUCGAAUUGCAGAUCUGUUACUAGCUGCAGGCACUGCAUAUUCUAAUACUUACACCAAAUUGGAAUUGGAAAAGGCAAUACAAAAGUGGCUAAAAAGAGCUAAAAAACGACAUGAUGCUGAAAGAAAAAACUUAGAGUACGCGAAGAUGACAUCCCAUAAUUCUUUAUAUCAGCCAAACAUUUAUUGUUUUCUUCACUAGAUAUAAUAGAUAUAAUUUUAUGUAAUAGCUUUAUUAGAUAACUCUCUUUUAAAGUUUUAUGACUGAUUUUUUAUUUUUAAUUUUUAUUGUUUUGUUUCUAAAGUAUACGUGUAUUUUAAAUCUAAAGAUCUUAAUUAUUAAGUUAAAUUAAGAUAAUUAUUUAAUUAAGACAAUAAGA